rnacentral:rRNA from 1 species
UACGUAGGGUGCGAGCGUUGUCCGGAAUUAUUGGGCGUAAAGAGCUCGUAGGCGGUGUGUCACGUCGGCCGUGAAAACCUGCAGCUUAACUGUGGGCGUGCGGUCGAUACGGGCAUCACUGGAGUUCGGCAGGGGAGACUGGAAUUCCUGGUGUAGCGGUGAAAUGCGCAGAUAUCAGGAGGAACACCUGUGGUGUAGACAGCUUACUGGACCAUCACUGACGCUGAGGCACGAAAGCGUGGGUAGCAAACAGG